UACGUGAGGUGACAAGCGUUGUCCGGAUUUACUGGGCGUAAAGAGCGCGCAGGCGGUCGUUCAAGUCGAGUGUGAAAGCCCCCGGCUCAACUGGGGAGGGUCAUUCGAUACUGAUCGACUCGAAGGCAGGAGAGGGAAGUGGAAUUCCCGGUGUAGUGGUGAAAUGCGUAGAUAUCGGGAGGAACACCAGUGGCGAAGGCGACUUCCUGGCCUGUUCUUGACGCUGAGGCGCGAAAGCUAG
rnacentral:rRNA from 1 species